ACUACAGUAACAGUUACUGGGUAUGGAUAGACCUUCAAAAUCUGCUUGUUGUAAAUAUUGAAAUAAAUAUUGAAAAGAUACCAAAGGCCAAACAACAAUCCAAGUUCCAAAGUCUUGGUCAAGCUAUUAGACUUCUCGCCCUCACCAGCACUCUCCGGCACGGCCGUUGCUCUAACCUCGAACCGGUCGAUCUUAGUCUCGGAAACGAGAGGAGGCAGAGGAUUCCAAGGCCUGAG
rnacentral:misc_RNA from 1 species